rnacentral:rRNA from 1 species
UUGACCUCAAAUCAGGUAGGACUACCCGCUGAACUUAAGCAUAUCAAUAAGCGGAGGAAAAGAAACUAACAAGGAUUCCCCUAGUAACUGCGAGUGAAGCGGGAAAAGCUCAAAUUUAAAAU